GAUGAAGAACGUAGUGAAAUGCGAUAAGUAAUGUGAAUUGCAGAAUUCAGUGAAUCAUCGAAUCUUUGAACGCACAUUGCGCCCGCCAGUAUUCUGGCGGGCAUGCCUGUUCGAGCGUCAUUUCAACCAUCAAGCCCCCGGCUUGUGUUGGGGACCUGCGGCUGCCGCAGGCCCUGAAAAGCAGUGGCGGGCUCGCUGUCACACCGAGCGUAGUAGCAUACAUCUCGCUCUGGGCGUGCUGCGGGUUCCGGCCGUUAAACCACCUUCAUAACCCAAGGUUGACCUCGGAUCAGGUAGGAAGAACCGCUGAACUUAAGCAUAUCAAUAAGCGGAGGA
rnacentral:misc_RNA from 1 species